UACGGAGGGGGCGAGCGUUAUUCGGAAUUAUUGGGCGUAAAGGGCGCGUAGGCGGCCCGGUAAGUCAAAGGUGAAAUCCCUCGGCUCAACUGAGGAACUGCCUUUGAAACUGUCGGGCUGGAGGCCAGUAGGGGGAUGCGGAAUUCCGGGUGUAGUGGUGGAAUGCGUAGAGAUCCGGAGGAACACCAGCGGCGAAGGCGGCAUCCUGGACUGGUCCUGACACUCAUGAGCGAAAGCGUGGGGAGCGAUCCGG
rnacentral:rRNA from 1 species